rnacentral:tRNA from 1 species
GGAAGGGUGCCGGAGUGGUCGAACGGGCUCGACUCGAAAUCGAGUGACCCUUCACCGGGUCCGUGGGUUCGAAUCCCACCCCUUCCGCCA